rnacentral:rRNA from 1 species
AGCGAACGCUGGCGGCAGGCCUAACACAUGCAAGUCGAGCGCCCCGCAAGGGGAGCGGCAGACGGGAGAGUAACACGUGGGAACGUACCCUUCAGUUCGGAACAACCAAGGGAAACUUUGGCUAAUACCGAAUACGUCCGUAAGGAGAAAGAUUUAUCGCUGAAGGAUCGGCCCGCGUCUGAUUAGCUAGUUGGUGGGGUAAUGGCCCACCAAGGCGACGAUCAGUAGCUGGUCUGAGAGGAUGAUCAGCCUCACUGGGACUGAGACACGGCCCAGACUCCUACGGGAGGCAGCAGUGGGGAAUAUUGGACAAUGGGCGCAAGCCUGAUCCAGCCAUGCCGCGUGGAUGAUGAAGGCCCUAGGGUUGUAAAGUCCUUUCGGCGGGGAAGAUAAUGACGGUACCCGCAGAAGAAGCCCCGGCUAACUUCGUGCCAGCCGCCGCUGUAAAAC